GCAGCGCCCUGGGCCCGCGCGGGCCCGGCGCCCCGGGAGGCGUCCGGGGAGGCUGGUGAGAGGCAGGCCGGCGGGCGGGCGGACGCCGAGGCGGUUAGGCCGCGCUGCAGGCCGGCGCGCUUCCUGCCGCGGCCCCGGGAACGGCGGCGCGGCCCCGACCCACAACUCCCGGGCCCCGCUGCUGUGUGUGUGCGGAACACACACUCACCCUCUCCGGCCCCCGCGGAGCAGCUCUCACCUGCGAGGCUCCUGAGCCUCGGCCACAAAGGGGGAGGGACACGCCACUCGGGGGUCCCAAACACACGGAACCCGCCCCCAGAGUCCCGGGCCCUGGGCGCGGACCACCCCCCCCAAACACACACACGCACGCACACCCCGGAACCUUCGCCGCUUCAGACAGAGACGCGGGUCAUCCCCGCACCCGACACACACCCACUCGCUGUGGGUCCUCAGGCCGCCUCCCCGCCCGCCGAAGUCCCAACUCGCACACCCCCAGGCACAUCUGUCCUUCUCCCACCUCAUUUCCCCGGGGACGCGCUCCUCUUCCCAACACUCUCGAUCCUACUCGGAGGCACAAAAACACUCUACCUCAUUCUCUUCCUCUGGCCCAGAAGGAGCAACAGCAGCCAUUUCCCCGCGGCAGGGGAAACACACACACACAAACACGCGCGCGCGCGCGCGCGCGCGCCAGGCCCCCACAGAUGCUUCCCCUCCGGAGCCGCGGCCGCAGACGCAAACACAAACACCCACUGGCGGGCCUCGCUACCGCCCGCCCCGGAGGGAAUCCGCGGCGGCGGCGGCGGCGGGCAGGGCCCGGAUCCCGGCUUGCGGGCGGGCGCGCAGGGCGCCCGGGCCUGGGGUCGCCGAGGGCCUGCGCCCCCUCCUCACCUGCAUUCAGCGCGCCGGGGUCCGGGCGGCGACGGCGGCGGCGGCGGCGGGGCGGCUGCUGCUGGUGCUGGUGUUGCGGCGGCGGGGGAGGCGGCGGCGGCGGUGGCGGCGGGGCUGAGGGCAGCAAAGACAUGCAGGCAGCCCGCCGGGGGAAGAGGCACCGGCCGGAGGGGACGCGGGGCGGGCGGGCCGGGCCGGGCCGCCGAGAAACGGCAGAGGCGGCGGCGAGGAGGACGGCUGAGGGGAGCGAGAAGGAGACGGAUGGGGGGCUGGGAGGGGGCCGCGCCGCCGGGCUUCGGGGACGGUGACCCUGGGCGCGCAGGAGAGGCCCCGCGGCCGCGGCCGCCGACGCGAAGGGCCCUGCUGGAGGAAGCUGCGCCCCCGCAGCCGCCGGAGCCGCGGCUAUUACUCGGAGAGCCGCACAGAGCCUGGCCUUGGCCUUGGCCUCCUGGCGCCGGGGCUGCCGCCGCUGCGGGGGUUGCUGCUGCGCCUGCUGCUGCUGGAGCCGAGGCUGCUGCACAGAGACGCCAGCUUUUGGUGCCACCGCUCUCGCUCACACACGUUCACACCCCCGAGGGCCGGGGGAGAGGCGUCCGCGCGCUAUCGGUAUUGAGAUUAAUAAGAAGGUGCAGAGAGUGCGAGAAGGAGGAGGGUUGA
rnacentral:lncRNA from 1 species